AACGUAGGAGACUAGCGUUAUCCGGAAUUACUGGGCGUAAAGCGUGCGCAGGCGGUUUUGUAAGUCUGAUGUGAAAUCCCCGGGCUCAACCUGGGAAUUGCAUUGGAGACUGCAAGGCUAGAAUCUGGCAGAGGGGGGUGAGAAUUCCACGUGUAGCAGUGAAAUGCCGUAGAGAUGUGGAGGAACACCGAUGGCGAAGGCAGCCCCUGGGUCAAGAUUGACGCUGCCAG
rnacentral:rRNA from 1 species